CCAGCAGCCGCGGUANCACGUAGGGUGCGAGCGUUAAUNGGAAUUACUGGACGUAAAGCGAGCNCAGACGGUUACUUAAGCAGGAUGUGAANUCCCCGGGCUCAACCUGGGAACUGCGUUNUGAACUGGGUGACUAGAGUGUGUCAGAGGGAGGUAGAAUUCCACGUGUAGCAGUGAAAUGCGUAGAGAUGUGGAGGAAUACCGAUGGCGAAGGCAGCCUCCUGGGAUAACACUGACGUUCAUGCUCGAAAGCGUGGGUAGCAAACAGGAUUAGAUACCCUGGUAGUNCACGCCCUAAACGAUGUCAAUUAGCUGUUGGGCAACUUGAUUGCUUAGUAGCGUAGCUAACGCGUGAAAUUGACCGCCUGGGGAGUACGGUCGCAAGAUUAAAACUCAAAGGAAUUGACGGGGACCCGCACAAGCGGUGGAUGAUGUGGAUUAAUUCGAUGCAACGCGAAGAACCUUACCUGGUCUUGACAUGUACGGAAUCCUCCAGAGACGGAGGAGUGCCUUCGGGAGCCGUAACACAGGUGCUGCAUGGCUGUCGUCAGCUCGUGUCGUGAGAUGUUGGGUUAAGUCCCGCAACGAGCGCAACCCUUGUCAUUAGUUGCCAUCAUUUAGUUGGGCACUCUAAUGAGACUGCCGGUGACAAGCCGGAGGAAGGUGGGGAUGACGUCAAGUCCUCAUGGCCCUUAUGACCAGGGCUUCACACGUCAUACAAUGGUCGGUACAGAGGGUAGCCAAGCCGCGAGGUGGAGCCAAUCUCACAAAACCGAUCGUAGUCCGGAUUGCACUCUGCAACUCGAGUGCAUGAAGUCGGAAUCGCUAGUAAUCGCAGGUCAGCAUACUGCGGUGAAUACGUUCCCGGGUCUUGUACACACCGCCCGUCACACCAUGGGAGUGGGGGAUACCAGAAGUAGGUAGG
rnacentral:rRNA from 1 species